CCAAACAAAUUUGUAGUUAUAGAAUUGCUUAAAAGAUCCACCAUAUUAUGAACUUCAAAAGUCACUUUCUCAAACAAAGGUUCAUUGACCAAUAACCCGUUAAGAUUAUUACAUGAGCACUCCACCUUAGUGUUGGAGAAUGAGAGCAGUUGUAAAGAAAUUUGAGUCAAACAUAUGCUUUUGAAAAAAUUCCAAUACCUUGAUUUCAGAUUGCCAACAACAUCCACAGCAUCACUAACUACUACUACAUGUUGUACAGCAUCAUCAUUGACGUGACAUGGAUUCUGCUCUUUGUAAGGGGUUUCAAUUACCAGGUCUGAGAAGGUUAAAGAUGAACUUGUAUUGGAUGGGAAUAAUAUCGAACUUGUUUCUCGUUCUUGUGCGCUGAUAAACCAGAAAUGUCAUGGGAAGAACAAAGAUAUCCGGAAGUUCCUUGAUGGUAUCUAUGUGAGCGAGAAGGGAGCAGUAGCUGUGGAAGAGUGAUAGUUAGCUAGUGGGUAUUUGGAGUUUUAUCGGUCCUCUCUAUUCUGGUGACAUUGGCUGAUUAUUAUCCUCUUUUUAUCACCGAAGUCUUUUUGAACGUAUUUUAUAUAUCACAUUUGUUUGAAUUUACAGUUUUGUGCCGUCUAGCUCCGUUUUAAAUAGACGUGAUUGGUUAAAUACCAUUUCAUCGUUCCCGUUAUUUAUGUUUUGAUUAAAUGGAGCUUAAAUACUUGAUAUGUGUUAUGAUCGUCUCAGUGACACAGAAAGCUUAAUUAAAUUUUCUGGUAGAUGCUA